GACGAACGCUGGCGGCGUGCUUAACACAUGCCAGUCGAACGGAAAGGCCCUGCUUGCAGGGUACUCGAGUGGCGAACGGGUGAGUAACACGUGGGUGAUCUGCCCUGCACUUCGGGAUAAGCCUGGGAAACUGGGUCUAAUACCGGAUAGGAGCCAUUUUUAGUGUGAUGGUUGGAAAGUUUUUUCGGUGUAGGAUGAGCUCGCGGCCUAUCAGCUUGUUGGUGGGGUAAUGGCCUACCAAGGCGGCGACGGGUAGCCGGCCUGAGAGGGUGGACGGCCACAUUGGGACUGAGAGACGGCCCAGACUCCUACGGGAGGCAGCAGUGGGGAAGAUUGCACAAGGGGCGCAAGCCUGAUGCAGCGACGCCGCGUGGGGGAUGACGGCCUUCGGGUUGUAAACUCCGUUCGCUAGGGACGAAGCUUUUUGUGACGGUACCUAGAGAAGAAGCACCGGCUAACUACGUG
rnacentral:rRNA from 1 species